CCUACGGGAGGCAGCAGUGGGGAAUAUUGGACAAUGGGGGCAACCCUGAUCCAGCCAUGCCGCGUGUGUGAAGAAGGCCCUCGGGUUGUAAAGCACUUUCAGUGAGGAAGAACGCCUGGUGGUUAAUACCCAUCAGGAAAGACAUCACUCACAGAAGAAGCACCGGCUAACUCCGUGCCAGCAGCCGCGGUAAUACGGAGGGUGCGAGCGUUAAUCGGAAUUACUGGGCGUAAAGCGCGCGUAGGUGGCUUGAUAAGCCGGUUGUGAAAGCCCCGGGCUCAACCUGGGAACGGCAUCCGGAACUGUCAAGCUAGAGUGCAGGAGAGGAAGGUAGAAUUCCCGGUGUAGCGGUGAAAUGCGUAGAGAUCGGGAGGAAUACCAGUGGCGAAGGCGGCCUUCUGGACUGACACUGACACUGAGGUGCGAAAGCGUGGGUAGCAAACAGGAUUAGAUACCCUAGAGUC
rnacentral:rRNA from 1 species